rnacentral:rRNA from 1 species
AGAGUUUGAUCCUGGCUCAGAUUGAACGCUGGCGGCAUGCUUUACACAUGCAAGUCGGACGGCAGCACAGAGAAGCUUGCUUCUUGGGUGGCGAGUGGCGAACGGGUGAGUAACAUAUCGGAACGUACCGAGUAGUGGGGGAUAACUGAUCGAAAGAUCAGCUAAUACCGCAUACGUCUUGAGAGAGAAAGCAGGGGACCUUUGGGCCUUGCGCUAUUCGAGCGGCCGAUAUCUGAUUAGCUGGUUGGUGGGGUAAAGGCCUACCAAGGCGACGAUCAGUAGCGGGUCUGAGAGGAUGAUCCGCCACACUGGGACUGAGACACGGCCCAGACUCCUACGGGAGGCAGCAGGUGGGGAAUUUUGGACAAUGGGCGCAAGCCUGAUCCAGCCAUGCCGCGUGUCUGAAGAAGGCCUUCGGGUUGUAAAGGACUUUUGUCAGGGAAGAAAAGGCUGUUGCUAAAUACCAGCGGCUGAUGACGGUACCUGAAGAAUAAGCACCGGCUAACUACGUGCCAGCAGCCGCGGUAAUACGUAGGGUGCGAGCGUUAAUCGGAAUUACUGGGCGUAAAGCGGGCGCAGACGGUUACUUAAGCAGGAUGUGAAAUCCCCGGGCUCAACCCGGGAACUGCGUUCUGAACUGGGUGACUCGAGUGUGUCAGAGGGAGGUAGAAUUCCACGUGUAGCAGUGAAAUGCGUAGAGAUGUGGAGGAAUACCGAUGGCGAAGGCAGCCUCCUGGGACAACACUGACGUUCAUGCCCGAAAGCGUGGGUAGCAAACAGGAUUAGAUACCCUGGUAGUCCACGCCCUAAACGAUGUCAAUUAGCUGUUGGGCAACUUGAUUGCUUAGUAGCGUAGCUAACGCGUGAAAUUGACCGCCUGGGGAGUACGGUCGCAAGAUUAAAACUCAAAGGAAUUGACGGGGACCCGCACAAGCGGUGGAUGAUGUGGAUUAAUUCGAUGCAACGCGAAGAACCUUACCUGGUCUUGACAUGUACGGAAUCCUCCAGAGACGGAGGAGUGCCUUCGGGAGCCGUAACACAGGUGCUGCAUGGCUGUCGUCAGCUCGUGUCGUGAGAUGUUGGGUUAAGUCCCGCAACGAGCGCAACCCUUGUCAUUAGUUGCCAUCAUUCAGUUGGGCACUCUAAUGAGACUGCCGGUGACAAGCCGGAGGAAGGUGGGGAUGACGUCAAGUCCUCAUGGCCCUUAUGACCAGGGCUUCACACGUCAUACAAUGGUCGGUACAGAGGGUAGCCAAGCCGCGAGGCGGAGCCAAUCUCACAAAACCGAUCGUAGUCCGGAUUGCACUCUGCAACUCGAGUGCAUGAAGUCGGAAUCGCUAGUAAUCGCAGGUCAGCAUACUGCGGUGAAUACGUUCCCGGGUCUUGUACACACCGCCCGUCACACCAUGGGAGUGGGGGAUACCAGAAGUAGGUAGGGUAACCGCAAGGAGUCCGCUUACCACGGUAUGCUUCAUGACUGGGGUGAAGUCGUAACAAGGUAGCCGUAGGGGAACCUGCGGCUGGAUCACCU